UAAGCGGAGGAAAAGAAACCAACAGGGAUUGCCUCAGUAACGGCGAGUGAAGCGGCAAAAGCUCAAAUUUGAAAUCUAGCACCUUCGGUGUUCGAGUUGUAAUUUGAAGAUGGUAACCUUGGGUUUGGCUCUUGUCUAUGUUCCUUGGAACAGGACGUCAUAGAGGGUGAGAAUCCCGUCUGAUGAGAUGCCCAUUCCUAUGUAAGGUGCUAUCGAAGAGUCGAGUUGUUUGGGAAUGCAGCUCUAAGUGGGUGGUAAAUUCCAUCUAAAGCUAAAUAUUGGCGAGAGACCGAUAGCGAACAAGUACAGUGAUGGAAAGAUGAAAAGAACUUUGAAAAGAGAGUGAAAAAGUACGUGAAAUUGUUGAAAGGGAAGGGCAUUAGAUCAGACUUGGUGUUUUACGAUUAUCUUCUCUUCUUGAGUUGUGCACUCGUAUUUCACUGGGCCAGCAUCGAUUCGGAUGGCAAGAUAAUGGCAGUUGAAUGUGGCUUCACUUCGGUGGAGUGUUAUAGCUUCUGCUGAUAUUGCCUGUCUGGAUCGAGGGCUGCGUCUUUUGACUAGGAUGCUGGCGUAAUGAUCUAAUGCCGCCCGUCUUGA
rnacentral:rRNA from 1 species